UACGAGGGGUGCGAGCGUUGUUCGGAAUUAUUGGGCGUAAAGGGUGCGUAGGCGGUUUGGUAAGUCUUAUGUGAAAUCUACAGGCUCAACUUGUAGUCUGCAUGAGAAACUGCCGGGCUUGAGUAUGGGAGAGGUGAGUGGAAUUCCUGGUGUAGCGGUGAAAUGCGUAGAUAUCAGGAGGAACACCUGUGGCGAAAGCGGCUCACUGGACCAUAACUGACGCUGAUGCACGAAAGCUAGGGGAGCAAACAGG
rnacentral:rRNA from 1 species